rnacentral:rRNA from 1 species
ACAAUGAAGAGUUUGAUCCUGGCUCAGGAUGAACGCUAGCUACAGGCUUAACACAUGCAAGUCGAGGGGCAUCAGGAAGAAAGCUUGCUUUCUUUGCUGGCGACCGGCGCACGGGUGAGUAACACGUAUCCAACCUGCCCUUUACUCGGGGAUAGCCUUUCGAAAGAAAGAUUAAUACCCGAUAGUAUAAUGAUUCCGCAUGGUUUCAUUAUUAAAGGAUUCCGGUAAAGGAUGGGGAUGCGUUCCAUUAGGUUGUUGGUGAGGUAACGGCUCACCAAGCCUUCGAUGGAUAGGGGUUCUGAGAGGAAGGUCCCCCACAUUGGAACUGAGACACGGUCCAAACUCCUACGGGAGGCAGCAGUGAGGAAUAUUGGUCAAUGGGCGCUAGCCUGAACCAGCCAAGUAGCGUGAAGGAUGAAGGCUCUAUGGGUCGUAAACUUCUUUUAUAUAAGAAUAAAGUGCAGUAUGUAUACUGUUUUGUAUGUAUUAUAUGAAUAAGGAUCGGCUAACUCCGUGCCAGCAGCCGCGGUAAUACGGAGGAUCCGAGCGUUAUCCGGAUUUAUUGGGUUUAAAGGGAGCGUAGGUGGACUGGUAAGUCAGUUGUGAAAGUUUGCGGCUCAACCGUAAAAUUGCAGUUGAUACUGUCAGUCUUGAGUACAGUAGAGGUGGGCGGAAUUCGUGGUGUAGCGGUGAAAUGCUUAGAUAUCACGAAGAACUCCGAUUGCGAAGGCAGCUCACUGGACUGCAACUGACACUGAUGCUCGAAAGUGUGGGUAUCAAACAGGAUUAGAUACCCUGGUAGUCCACACAGUAAACGAUGAAUACUCGCUGUUUGCGAUAUACAGUAAGCGGCCAAGCGAAAGCAUUAAGUAUUCCACCUGGGGAGUACGCCGGCAACGGUGAAACUCAAAGGAAUUGACGGGGGCCCGCACAAGCGGAGGAACAUGUGGUUUAAUUCGAUGAUACGCGAGGAACCUUACCCGGGCUUAAAUUGCAGUGGAAUGAUGUGGAAACAUGUCAGUGAGCAAUCACCGCUGUGAAGGUGCUGCAUGGUUGUCGUCAGCUCGUGCCGUGAGGUGUCGGCUUAAGUGCCAUAACGAGCGCAACCCUUAUCUUUAGUUACUAACAGGUUAUGCUGAGGACUCUAGAGAGACUGCCGUCGUAAGAUGUGAGGAAGGUGGGGAUGACGUCAAAUCAGCACGGCCCUUACGUCCGGGGCUACACACGUGUUACAAUGGGGGGUACAGAAGGCAGCUAGCGGGUGACCGUAUGCUAAUCCCAAAAUCCUCUCUCAGUUCGGAUCGAAGUCUGCAACCCGACUUCGUGAAGCUGGAUUCGCUAGUAAUCGCGCAUCAGCCACGGCGCGGUGAAUACGUUCCCGGGCCUUGUACACACCGCCCGUCAAGCCAUGGGAGCCGGGGGUACCUGAAGUACGUAACCGCAAGGAUCGUCCUAGGGUAAAACUGGUGACUGGGGCUAAGUCGUAACAAGGUAGCCGUACCGGAAGGUGCGGCUGGAACACCUCCUUU